GGUUAUCUUGCUCAGCUAACGUCAUAUGGAGAUCCUCAUAUCAUAUUUAUAUGUUUAGAAGACUUCUAGAUAGACUAGGAUUCCAAAAACUCAAUUUUAAAAACAGACGACGGUCUCAGGGUCCGGUCCUCCCGAGGAGACCGGUCCUUGGGAGACCGGUCCUCCAAGGUGAGGUCCGGUCUUUCGCUGCGUAGACGUAAACAUAUGCGUACGGGGACCGGUCCUCAAUUCAGAGACCGGUCCUUCCCUGCGCAACAAGGAAAACCAUGUACGGGAAUCGGUCCUCAAGAUCAGAGACCGGUUUCCCAAACCUUCUACGCAGAGAAGCUUGAUGGGUCCGGUCCUUCUGAUCAAGGACCGGUCCCCGACCCCUGAGUUUUUCAGAAAACUUAAGUUUGAAUAAAUCAAAAGAACACCAAGUCUUCUAAACAUCUUUAAACAAUAAAAACUUCACCACAAAUUAUUCAUAAUCAUACCUGAGAUCUCAAGGGUCUUUGAUCACGAAAACUUCAAUUCUUUUCUUCAACCUUCAUCUUCUAAUUCUUCGAGACUCCGUCCAAACCUUCACGAAAUUCGCCAACUUAUAAAAUCCUUAACAUAUCUGUCACGCCCCGGGACCGCCAAUUUGGUCGGUUCGGGCACGUCAACAGAUGCCGAACGGACAGCACCUCCCCUGUCCGCCCAAGGCUCCACCAAUACAUGUAUAACAAUAGCAAUUCAAACAUAAUGAAUGCAAGUAUACACGACUUGCACGAGGGCAAGCAACAACUAAACAUAAGUGAGAGCGAUCUAACUAUUACAUUUUUAUACAUUGUAUCUUGAUCAUUUUCAAUCAAACACAAAGCUCAUACAUUUCUUUACAUUCAUUCACCUCAAUUUACAAUUUCAUCUCUCAAAGGAACUUAAUAUAUUUUCACCUCUCACAUGAUUUUAUUAUAUUUACAUUUUACAUUUUACAUCAUCGACAUAAUAGAUGAAAUAUACAAGGGUGCCUCUAUACAUAAAGGUAGCACACUACCUAGAGCACGAUAACCACGCCACGAGCCCCGAUCGCCCCGCUCGCGCUAGAACCUGCAUGGUUAGUGGGAUGAGAACUAGAAGAAGUUCCCAGUGGGUUCGGCCACCGACUGCGCCGAUUCGCCCACUAGGUCUAUUUCAGGCAUAUGUAUUUCAAUAAAGAAGGAUAAGAAACCAACUAAUGCACUUCUAAUACAAUGUCUGCAAGAAAGAAAAUCACAGAUAGAUAUUCAUAUUCAAAUACAUGAUGAUUAUGCAUGCAUGUCCUUUUCACUUUCCUUUAGUCUUUACCCAAUCAACCUGGGGUGCUCCUGGUUUACCCCAACUCACAGUCCACACACUUUCCUUUGGCUUUUACCCAAUCAACCUGGGGUGCUCCUGGUUUACCCCAACUCAUAGUCCACAUAUCCCGUCUAACGGGGGAGGCACAAGGCACAACCACCCGAAGGAUCUUCGCCGGGCACGUCCACCCGUGGUGUUUGUUCACUCCGGAGUACACCGCUUGUAGAGGAGCGACCUCCACAAGCCGGAACCAAUACAUGUGAGUAUGAUCCCCUCCUCAAUUUGAGGAGGUGUAGCCAAACCUGUCUCAAUGCCACAAUGCCGAUGAAAGGUCUCUACCUAUUCAUAUAUGUCACUUUACUAAGCCACAAUGGUCACAAUGCAUAGAAUGGUCUUUACUUUAUCUAGCAUAUCAUGCUCUUAGCCACUUUUGCCAUUAUUCUCAUAUUGCUCAUAAGGGCUUACCCUACUUAGCACAUCAAUUCAUAUUGUCACAAAGUCACAAUAUCUAGGGCCACACUUGCCACGAUGUCCACUAAUGGGAUAGUCAAUAUUUCACAAUGCUUUUAAGGUUUUACCUUAUCUAGCACAAUAUGUCCUCGGUGCCAAUCAUGUCACUAGAGUCAAUGUCACCUUUAUUUACUAUGGAUCAAGUCUUUUCUCACUUUCACAUACAUAUAGGGUUGUUCAUUUUCUCGUUCUCAUGGUUCUACAAUAUAUUUGCAAUGUUCAUAAGCAGAUAAUUGAUACAAUCAACAUUUAUCUCAUUACCCUACAUGCAUGAGUGCAACAUUAUCAAUAUGCUCAAAGAAGUGACAUAGACAUAGAAAGAGAUCCGGUGUUUCCGGACAGCACCCCCCACCUUGUAGGAAUGCCGAGAAGUUCCGAUUCAAUUUUCACGAUUUUUAGACACCUACGCCGCGAGCUGCGGCCAUCUGUACCAAUUUAGCUUGUUUCUUCAAUAUCUUCGUACCGGCUCGACGAAUCGACGAACCGAGCGCACCAACGCGUUCGUUGACCUACCAAUUAGGUUAACAAGAGAUCAAACUCAAGUUAGAUCUCAACUUUACAAAAUUCCCAAAUCUAACCCCUAGGGUUUUCAUCUUUAUGAAAUAACCCCUUAGAACAAGGAAAUCCAUGUCUAACUUCACCAUAGCUUCAUCUAGAAGCUAGAUCUAAAGGGAAAUACACAACCCUAACAUUAAAACCAUAAAACCCUCAAAUUUUAGGUUACUUAUCUUAGGUCCAAGCUUUUCUUCAUGCUAGGCUUGCAAGGGAGGGUAGCUUCAUCACCAACCAAGCUCUUCUCCACCAUGGUUUCACCAUUGGAGCACCUCAAGGAGGGAGAGGGAGAGAUCUAGAGAGAGAGAGAGAGAGCUCUCAAGUUGGUGUUGGAGAGGAGAGAAAUCAGGGCUAAACCUCAUCUCUCCAACAUAUAAACUCAUAUAUACACAUUUGCACUUAACCCCCUACACCCGUCAAUGUUUAACACAAUGAUCCAGCCCAAACUGGGCAUUUUCGGGUGCUGGGACCGGUCCCAGGCAGUGAGAGACCGGUCCCCGAAAGGCCAGAAAAUCAGCAUUCCAGACUUAGCCAAAUUUUCAGCAUUUUCAGCCUUCGGGUCCGUUUUCGCUCGUUUUUGCUCGUUUGACCUCUGAUUCGUUUCAAAUCGAACUGAGACUCUCAAGACAUGUUUUCGAACAUGUUUAAACCAUCUUUUCAUCCAUGCCCUUGCUAGAUUUAGUCCAUGGUCCAUCAUAGCCUUUCAGGCUCCGUUUUCGCGCCCUACGCGCAUUGAAGCAACAGAAUGCUUCCGAACUUCACCGUAACCAUUCUAACGGCUUUCCAAGCUAACAUACACCAUAACUUCAUAAUUAUAGAAGUUCGGCAUGUUACACAAUGCCCC
rnacentral:lncRNA from 1 species